UACGUAGGGUGCAAGCGUUGUCCGGAAUUAUUGGGCGUAAAGAGCUCGUAGGCGGUUUGUCGCGUCUGCUGUGAAAACUCAGGGCUUAACCCUGAGCCUGCAGUGGGUACGGGCAGACUAGAGUGUGGUGGGGGAGAUCGGAAUUCCUGGUGUAGCGGUGGAAUGCGCAGAUAUCAGGAGGAACACCGGUGGCGAAGGCGGAUCUCUGGGCCAUAACUGACGCUGAGGAGCGAAAGCAUGGGGAGCGAACAGG
rnacentral:rRNA from 1 species